GGGUAGGUGUCCGAGUGGUUAAAGGAGGCGGUCUGUAAAAUCGUCGCGCAAGCUACACAGGUUCGAAUCCUGUCCUGCCCA
rnacentral:tRNA from 1 species